rnacentral:rRNA from 1 species
ACGCUCGACACCUAGGAGGCAGCAGUGGGGAAUAUUGCACAAUGGGGGAAACCCUGAUGCAGCGACGCCGCGUGAGUGAAGAAGUAUUUCGGUAUGUAAAGCUCUAUCAGCAGGGAAGAAGAUGACGGUACCUGAGUAAGAAGCCCCGGCUAACUACGUGCUAGCAGCCGCGGUAAUCUGAGCGGGCUGGCAAGGC